CGAGUACUCCCUCCGUCCGAAAAAACUUGUCAUCAAAAUGGACAAAAAGGAAUGUAUCUAGAACUAAAAUAUAUCUAGAUACAUCCCCUUUUAUUCAUUUUGAUGACAAGUAUCUCCGAACGGAGGGAGUACUAU
rfam:Triticum aestivum genome assembly, contig: Triticum_aestivum_CS42_TGACv1_scaffold_486857_6AS